rnacentral:rRNA from 1 species
UACGGAGGGUGCGAGCGUUGUCCGGAAUCACUGGGCGUAAAGGGCGCGUAGGCGGCCCGGCAAGUCAGUGGUGAAAGCCCGAGGCUCAACUUCGGGUCGGCCACUGAUACUGCUAGGCUUGAGUCGACUAGAGGCAGAUGGAAUUCCGGGUGUAGCGGUGGAAUGCGUAGAGAUCCGGAAGAACACCGGUGGCGAAGGCGGUCUGCUGGGCAGUUGCUGACACUGAGGCGCGACGAGCGUGGGGAGCAAACAGG